GGGCGGGGCAGCUGCUGCCUGUGAGUGCUGUUGGAGAAACGGAGCCAGUCAUACUAAGGAGAGCUUAAGUUUGACCAGUUCUUACCCUCCCCGACUAAAUCGGUUUCAGUUAUGUACUGAAAUAUAAGAAUGGACAUUAGAGGGUUCUUUCAAAGAAAAAACUCAGCACAAAGAGGGAGAGAGAGGGUGAGAGAGGGAGAUGGAGAGGCAAAUGAGGACAGAAGAGAAAUGGAACAAGAACCAGAGGUCAGGGGAAAUCAGGAAAGCAAGAGAAAACCAAAACACAACAGCAUCACAGCAGGAAGCAGCAGGUGGAUCGCUAAGGACAGCUGAAGGAGGUUUACUGGAAGGAGCAGCAGAAGAUGAUUUAGGAACUCUAGAAAGUGGUCCAAGACAAAAUGUCCUCCCACAAUAUCCGCUGAGCCAGUUUGGAGGCCAGCAGAGGGCGUUCAAUAAGAGUUGAUUUGAACAGUUUACAUGGCUGGAGUAUUCUGUUGUGAGGAACUUGGCUUUCUGUUUUUCAUGUCGCAUAUUUGGGAAGCAGAAUACUUUAAAAAAAAAGAUGGCCUCAGUCAUUCAGGGUUCUGCAAUUGGAAGAGGGCUUUAAAUGCCUUUAGGGAGCACGAAAAGAGUUCCAGCCAUUCGUCUUCUAUGAUAUGCUGGCACAGCCUUAAGACCACAAAAAACCAAGGUGACGUUUUUGAGCAACUUAGAUAAGCAAGCCCAGCAGAAAUUUCAGAGAGACGACAGUAUCUCCACAGGAUCUUAGCUGUAACAAGUUUCCUUGGAAAACAAGGAAUACCAUUCCGUGGCCACGAUGAGCAGAAAUCCACCAGUCAUAAUCAAGGGAACUUCCUUGAGUGCAUGAAGCUGCUGAAAAC